CAGUAGCCACGGGAAAACGUAGGUGGCAAGCGUUGUCCGGAAUUAUUGGGCGUAAAGCGCGCGCAGGCGGAUCGGUCAGUCUGUCUUAAAAGUUCGGGGCUUAACCCCGUGAUGGGAUGGAAACUGCCAAUCUAGAGUAUCGGAGAGGAAAGUGGAAUUCCUAGUGUAGCGGUGAAAUGCGUAGAUAUUAGGGAGAACACCAGUGGCGAAGGCGACUUUCUGGACGAAAACUGACGCUGAGGCGCGAAAGCCAGGGGAGCGAACGGGAUUAGAUACCCCAGUAGUCCCUGUCUCUUAUACA
rnacentral:rRNA from 1 species